rnacentral:RNase_P_RNA from 2 species
UGAGUUCGCCAGACAGUCGCUGCCCGAUUCAUUCGGGGAGAGGAAAGUCCGGGCUCCAAAGGGUAGAGUGCCAGGUAACUCCUGGGGGGCGCGAGCCUACGGAAAGUGCAGCAGAAAGUAAACCGCCCGCUUUAAUGGCUCCCUGGCUUUGUCAGAGAGUCGCAGCGGGUAAGGGUGAAAAGGUGUGGUAAGAGCGCACCGCGUAGCUGGUAACAGGUGCGGCGAUGGUAAACCCCGCUCGGAGCAAGACCAAAUAGGAAUCCUUCGGUGUGACCCGCACCGGAUUCGGGUAGGUUGCUUGAGGUAUGUGGUGACACAUGCACUAGAGGAAUGACUGUCCACGACAGAACCCGGCUUAUCGGCGAACUCAAAAC